AUACGGAGGAUCCGAGCGUUAUCCGGAUUUAUUGGGUUUAAAGGGUGCGCAGGCGGGAGAUUAAGUCGGCGGUGAAAUUUUUCAGCUCAACUGUAAAAGUGCCUUCGAAACUGGGUUCCUUGAGUGUCGAUGAAGUAGGCGGAAUUUGUGGUGUAGCGGUGAAAUGCAUAGAUAUCACGAGGAACUCCGAUUGCGCAGGCAGCUUACUAAACUACUACUGACGCUCAGGCACGAAGGCGUGGGGAUCAAACAGGAUUAGAUACCCUGGUAGUCCACGCAGUAAACGAUGAUUACUAGCUGUUUGCGAUACAAUGUAAGCGGCUGAGCGAAAGCGUUAAGUAAUCCACCUGGGGAGUACGUUCGCAAGAAUGAAACUCAAAUGAAUUGACGGGG
rnacentral:rRNA from 1 species